GUGACCACGGAGUGAAGGAGGAUGUGAAAUCUUUGCCAUCAUCCUGCAGAGGAUGGAUGAGGGGGCUCCGAGCAGACAUAAAGUGCUUUGGAUCGGUGGGUUUCACUUGGAUUGAAACUUGGUGUGGCUCUGAUGCUUUUGUUCUUAGUAGAGGAAGAGUUACCAUAACUUCAACCACACCCGAAUUAUCCUACACUCACAAGAAAGAAUACACAGCUGUAAUAGGAGACUCAGCAUGCAUGCCUCCAACAACUAAGAUCAAGCCUAUCAACUACAUUAUAGAAGAGUUUACUUUUGCUGAAUUGUUAUGUUCUGUUUUAGAGGUAUCUUUUCAUCACUGAAGAACACAUCAAAAGAUUUUAGGCUUUGACAUUCUUAUCCAGGAUAUGUUUCACAGUCUUUCAUCAGCCACUGAAACUGGAUUAGCACCAAAAAAUUUUUAACACACACUGUAUGUGCAGAGAAGAGACCAAGGGACCUUUGGCUUACAAAGAAUCUAUAAAAUGUGAUUAUUAAUUUCAAGGUAUCACACAUUUAAAAUAGAGCUCUUCAGCAUUCUUUAUAACUAAAAUAAUGAACUGAUGAAGAGCUGAUGAAGAGCCUGCCUGAAGAGAAUGUCAGAAUCCACAAAUACAAUAACUCACUUAACAACUGAGAUGGACUCAUAAAAACUUCAGAACAGAAACGAAACCCUGAUUUUCAAUUUAAUUUCCAAACACUACACUUGCUUCAAUUUACAAUGUAUUAGAGGAGUGGGUAAAAUUAGUCUUUAAAAUUCUCCAUUCCAUUACAGAAAUUGAAAAUAAAAUGUUUACUGCUAUGUAGUUCA
rnacentral:lncRNA from 1 species